rnacentral:tRNA from 1 species
GGCAGACGGUUUGGGCAGGGCGUCGUCUUGAAAAUCCUUGUGUCGGUGGUUCGAUUCCGCCCCGGGCCACCA